rnacentral:rRNA from 1 species
UAAACUAUGCGUCCCAAAGGUGCCGGGUUAGGGAGGCUUGGGGGAGGCUUGGGGAGGAAAGGUGCGCCGAGAGUCGGGAGGAGGAAACCAAGUCAGACACCCUUUUAGUCUUAAGUAGUAACUUAGGACACCUAGUCGAGGGAAUGUAUUAUUAUAAAGUGACAUAGUCGAUGGUUCCUUUUUAGACCUUCUGUCUCCUAUCUCUCACUCUCUUUCUCACACUCUGAACGCGGCGAGAGGUAAAGCUCCCCUAAAGCUGCUAAAACCCUCCGCUUAUUAUCCGAUCCUAAACCUCCUCUGUGGCGGCGGGCUGAGGAGUUGUGCGGCGGCUGGCUGAGGAGCUGCGGCCGUAUGGAGGAGGCGGCAUGACCGGAAGAGGGGCCACCAUUCGGGAGCGGAGCGCAGAGGAGGAAAGAGGAGCAACAGAUCUAAAGAAGGUAGGCGGACCGGUACCGACGACCGAGCAGGAGGGGCCGCUCGAGCGGCUCGUGCGGCAGAGGGUCCCGUGGUUCCGGCAGUGGUACAAGUGGAGGAGAAUCUAAGUCAGAGACCGUUGACAUCAACCCACGACAAAUGGAUCUUAACCACAACGAGUUACCCUUAGCCACCUUAUAAGAAAUCAAACAUCAAUCCAACGACUACAAUGGCACAGACUAGCUAGACUUUAUCGUUAUUACACCACGUAGAAAACCCUUCGGAGACAAGACUUGAUCAAUGAGCAACAUACCGAGCGUUACUUUGUAACGGCGACUUUUGUUUAAAGUCACCUUGACAGCUGCAUCCAGAACUAGGUUAAAGUAGCCGUACGACAUCUUUAAGAAAACUAAUCUACUAACCGACGGUUGACUUCAGUCCUCUACAUGGUCGAUGUCUAACGACAUGGUUAGUCACCGUCUCGAUCGAUUAGUUACCUCUGCCCCGUUUUAUGUUUCCCUACACCAAGUACCCGUAAAACGGGUGAUUUUGACUACUAACCAAGAGGUAGAAGAAGAUAUUAGUUUACCCUCAAAGAUCCGUCUCGGGCCCGUCGACGGGUCCCAGCGGCCCUCCACCGAGGCGGUGACCAUGGUUACUUUUCAAAAAUAAACUAGUCUGAACAAUUCAAAAAUGACUUAAAAUUAGUCUAACGACAUUGUCGAGGAAGACAAGAACAAUACACGACGAAACAAAACUAAGCUAGACAACGCGUUCGAGCGCAAAGAGACAUUUAGAGACGUCUGUUACUGACACUCGGCCGACUCUACAUUUAAGUCACAACUAUCAACGGGAAACAUACACAGGCAUGCACCACUAUCGAACUAUAUACCGACAACUAACGAGUGGCAGAAGCUAAGUAAAAGGGCAUCACUAUACGUACCACUGUAAACCAGGGAAAUAAAGGAAGUGAAACUAAGGUUCUAGUGAACGUAUAGAUCGGACCGAAACAUAGGAAAGAGACUUUAUAUAUGAGACGGACACCAUGAUAUUGUCCGUCGUUUUAUUGAGGAAUUAAGCCAGUCUCACGGUCAGGAUUGUUCGACGCGUCAUUAGACCAGUAGAUACAAGGUGGUUCAAUUUAGGACAAAAGCAGGUACAGUGGAAUUAUCUUCAACAUCCUUUAAAUACAUCUAUAGAGCCUACAUAAAUAAACGACGUGAACCAAUUCGCCAAUUUCUUUAUACCUGUCCUGGCGUUCGUUGAGUCUAAUAAAUCAUUUUUUUAAGUCAAUUCAACUUCUGAC